AAACUUUUAGUUUAAACCAUCUUUGCUCUGUAUUAAACUUUAAUCCUGCCCCGUGUCGUAGGUGUCCAAAUGAAGUGGCUGCGGCCGGCAGGUUUAUGUGUACUGUAAAUGUAUGUACACAUUCAUGUGGAAAGUGGCUAGUUGCAAGCGCAAACCAAUUAGGCUGAUUCCAUGUCAUAUCAGAACAAUUCGGUCUGGGAACUAGACAAAUGGUCAUGAGCUCUAGCUAGCGACUGCUGUACCUGUCGCUGGUUACUUACGUAAUUAGUAUUAAAAAGCGUUUGGUUAUUGCCCAGCGGCGGGUACCAAUACAUUACGUACAGUCAUGUUUUGCACGGCGUCACACGUACAGCACGGCGGCCACUGUAUCAAUGGAGCCUGCCUCUUUUCAGCGCUGGGAGAAAUACCAAUUACCUGUCUUGGCUUCAUCCAAGUCAACACUGUCUGUGACAGACAGACAAUAUCAUGGAAAUUCCUCUGAACAAGAAGUGCAGUGUUUUUUUCACCGCAGAGGGAGUGGAAGAAAAAGGCAGCCUGAUGGUGCUGUACAUGUACCUCAAGAUGUAGCCACUCAAGACCUUCCUCAUCUGUAGUGCACUGACAGCAGUUUGGAAUGAAGACAGCAGUGAUCCUUAAUAGCACUCUACUAGACAUACGCUACACCAUUUCCUAGAUAACACUACGGUCGAAGACUACACAGCUUUCUGGUGUGUAGUGUACAUUCCUUCCAUACUGCAACUUGAAUUAUUGGCCACUUUGCCUGGACCCGUCUCAGCCAUCUGGAAAACCUCCAGACACUCCUUGCGCAACUCUCACUAACUGGUCCAUGGUGUCUCUGUUGUGGGUGCUCAUCGCCUUUCCCCUACCCAUGGAUUCCACCAGGCCUAUCCAUGAGUUGCCUAUCAUCUGCAUGGACUUGUCAUCCUCUCUUCUGUGUGUGUACGGCCUCCCCAUGCUACAGACUGCUUCCAGCAUGAUCUAUGGAGCUGGUUCCCUAGGUUAGGAUACAAAUCAGCAACAUGAUAGCCCCAGCUGAAUUGCACUGAGCAGAUUGAGAAGAUCAAUUCAUACUAUUUAGCUAGGAAGGAUAACACCACGGUGACCUCUCAGGCACAACCUAGUAUUACCCUCAGCUGCCAAGUGGGAUUCCACCU